rnacentral:rRNA from 1 species
GAGCGAAUGGAUUAAGAGCUUGCUCUUAUGAAGUUAGCGGCGGACGGGUGAGUAACACGUGGGUAACCUGCCCAUAAGACUGGGAUAACUCCGGGAAACCGGGGCUAAUACCGGAUAACAUUUUGAACCGCAUGGUUCGAAAUUGAAAGGCGGCUUCGGCUGUCACUUAUGGAUGGACCCGCGUCGCAUUAGCUAGUUGGUGAGGUAACGGCUCACCAAGGCAACGAUGCGUAGCCGACCUGAGAGGGUGAUCGGCCACACUGGGACUGAGACACGGCCCAGACUCCUACGGGAGGCAGCAGUAGGGAAUCUUCCGCAAUGGACGAAAGUCUGACGGAGCAACGCCGCGUGAGUGAUGAAGGCUUUCGGGUCGUAAAACUCUGUUGUUAGGGAAGAACAAGUGCUAGUUGAAUAAGCUGGCACCUUGACGGUACCUAACCAGAAAGCCACGGCUAACUACGUGCCAGCAGCCGCGGUAAUACGUAGGUGGCAAGCGUUAUCCGGAAUUAUUGGGCGUAAAGCGCGCGCAGGUGGUUUCUUAAGUCUGAUGUGAAAGCCCACGGCUCAACCGUGGAGGGUCAUUGGAAACUGGGAGACUUGAGUGCAGAAGAGGAAAGUGGAAUUCCAUGUGUAGCGGUGAAAUGCGUAGAGAUAUGGAGGAACACCAGUGGCGAAGGCGACUUUCUGGUCUGUAACUGACACUGAGGCGCGAAAGCGUGGGGAGCAAACAGGAUUAGAUACCCUGAUAGUCCACGCCGUAAACGAUGAGUG